GAUGAAGAACGCAGCGAAAUGCGAUAAGUAAUGCGAAUUGCAGAAUUUCCGUGAGUCAUCGAAUCUUUGAACGCACAUUGCGCCCACUGGUAUUCCGGUGGGCAUGCCUGUUCGAGCGUCAUUAUCCUCCCUCAAACCCCGGGUUUGGUGUUGGACCCAAGUUGUGUGAACAACUGGUCUCAAAGAUAAUGACGGCGUCCGUGGGACCCUCGGUGCAACGAGCUUUUAGGAGCACGCAUCGAGUUGCAAGGACCUUCCGGGCCGGUCUCCUUUACCAUUUUACAAGGUUGACCUCGGAUCAGGUAGGAAUACCCGCUGAACUUAAGCAUAUCAAUAAGCGGAGGA
rnacentral:misc_RNA from 1 species